GCUUAGCUCAGUUGGCAGAGCAUUCGCUUAGUAAGCGAAAGGCCGGCGGUUCGAACCCGUCAG
rnacentral:tRNA from 1 species